AUAUAGAGUAACAAACAGGUGUGACAGCAACGGUAAUUAGAGCAGUCACAGGUGCAGAAAAUCAGUUGAUUUUUGCUGAAACAGCACAGGGAACAGAUCGUGACAUCUGCAGGCAGCAACAUAAACACAGAGCCACAGAAGAAGCUGUGGACGUCACAGAAAGUAAUUGUGGUGAACUCCUGUCUUUGCCCAGAGUGGUUGUGACACCUGGUUUGGUUGGGAAUCAUCACUUAGGUUAUUUUUUUCCUCAUUGGGUUCCCAGAUGAGAGCUCAGUGGGAUCUGGAAACACAGCUCUCGGAUUGCUGUCCUGUGAUGACUGGAGAAGUUCGCUUUAUGGCUUGUGCUUGCUCUUUGCCAAGGUGGUGGGGAUAACAUUAGCCACCACUGAAACCUGAUUGACCACCCAAGGUAAAACACAUCCUUUAAAAGACAGCUAGGGUGGUGGAUAAAAGGCUCUGCAGCAUCUGAAGGAAGAGAAAAUCAAGUUGGUCUCAAAGGACCUCUGAACCAGCCUGACCCCUGCCUGAGUUGGACUGCCUGCCUGGACAUCCGACCUGUUCUGCCUCCGGACCCCCGAACCUGCCGGAUUUGGACUGCCGGUCUCCUGUUUAUGAAUCUGGAUCUUCAUCGAACCUCUGCUCCCUUGGUCACGACCCGGACCCCCUUUUUGGAAAAACGUAUUAAGAAAGACCCCUCAAGCACUCCCGCCGGCUCA